CCUACGGGGUGCACCAGUGGGGAAUAUUGCACAAUGGGCGCAAGCCUAAUGCAGCCAUGCCGCGUGUAUGAAGAAGGCCUUCGGGUUGUAAAGUACUUUCAGUCGGGAGGAAGGUGGUGAGCUUAAUACGCUCAUCAAUUGACGUUACCGACAGAAGAAGCACCGGCUAACUCCGUGCCAGCAGCAGCGGUAAUACGGAGGGUGCAAGCGUUAAUCGGAAUUACUGGGCGUAAAGCGCACGCAGGCGGUUGAUUGAGUCAGAUGUGAAAUCCCCGGGCUUAACCCGGGAAUUGCAUCUGAUACUGGUCAGCUAGAGUCUUGUAGAGGGGGGUAGAAUUCCAUGUGUAGCGGUGAAAUGCGUAGAGAUGUGGAGGAACACCAGUGGCGAAGGCGACUCUCUGGUCUGUAACUGACGCUGAGGCUCGAAAGCGUGGGGAGCAAACAGGAUUAGAUACCCCGGUAGUC
rnacentral:rRNA from 1 species